GACGAACGCUGGCGGCGUGCUUAACACAUGCAAGUCGAACGGAAAGGCCCUGCUUGCAGGGUACUCGAGUGGCGAACGGGUGAGUAACACGUGGGUGAUCUGCCCUGCACUUCGGGAUAAGCCUGGGAAACUGGGUCUAAUACCGGAUAGGAGCCAUUUUUAGUGUGAUGGUUGGAAAGUUUUUUCGGUGUAGGAUGAGCUCGCGGCCUAUCAGCUUGUUGGUGGGGUAAUGGCCUACCAAGGCGGCGACGGGUAGCCGGCCUGAGAGGGUGGACGGCCACAUUGGGACCUAGGUACGGCCCAGACUCCUACGGGAGGCAGCAGUGGGGAAUAUUGCACAAUGGGCGCAAGCCUGAUGCAGCGACGCCGCGUGGGGGAUGACGGCCUUCGGGUUGUAAACUCCUUUCGCUAGGGACGAAGCUUUUUGUGACGGUACCUAGAUAAGAAGCACCGGCUAACUACGUG
rnacentral:rRNA from 1 species